CCUGUAUUAGGUACAGAACUUCAUUAUUCAUGAAUUCAAUACUUAUAUUGUCUCCCACCGGACUUCUAUGACAGCUGCAUACAAGACAAGAUUGAAUUUGGGCCCGCCAACCUACACCUGUCAAUACUGUCAGUCAAUUAUGUGGUAUGAGGAACGGACAGACAAAAGUAAAAAUACACGACAACCCAAAUUUGCACUUUGCUGUAUGGAAGGACGAAUCUGUGUACCAUUACUGACUCAACCACCACCGUACCUCAAAUAUCUAUUGGGCACUGAAUCCGGGAAAAUGGGGAUGAACUUUAGGAAAAAUAUCAGGGUAUAUAACUCCAUGUUUGCAUUUACAUCAAUGGGAGGUCGAGUUGAUAGAUCAAUCAAUCGUUCUAAGGGACCUUAUGUAUUCAGAAUAAGUGGGCAAAAUUAUCAUCACAUAGGCUCACUAUUACCAGAAAUUGGAAAAAGUCCACAAUUUGCACAACUCUAUAUAUAUGACACGGAUAAUGAGAUAGAGAAUAGAAUCAAAAGUCUGAUGCAUGAAGAAGUAGAAACAGAAAUCGUACAAGGAAUAUCUGAAAUGCUAGACGAGCAUAAUGUUUUGGUCAAAUCAAUUUCGUAUGGCAAGGGAUAGAUACAGAGAACAACCACAAGCAGAGUUUCGUAUGCGCAUCCUAUCUGAAAGGACCCAAGAUGGCCGACAAUACAACAGACCAACGGCUUCUGAAGUUGCUGGAUUAAUCGUAGGAGACCUUACAGAUGCUAACUUCCAGCGAGAUGUCAUUGUGGAACACCGCAAGAACGGACUGCAAAGGAUCACAGAUUUACACCCAAGCUUCAUGUCGAUGAAUUACCCAUUAAUACAUCCCUAUGGGGAAGAUGGAUAUAGGCUUGGAAUACCUUUACAUUCUGAGAGUCAAAAAACAUACACUCGGACAACCUUGACAAUGAGACAAUUUUAUGUAUACCGCAUACAACAACGCCUCAAUGAGGGACACACUCUACUCCAAGCUGGCAGGCUAUUGCAGCAGUACAUUGUGGAUGGGUACAUGGCAAUUGAAGAAGAGAGAUUUAGGUACAUCCGGAAAAAUCAACAGAAAUUAAGGUCUGAUCUUUAUGGUGGCUUAAUGGACGCUAUUGUACGUGGAGAUUCAGAUUGCUCAAUGGUGGGAAAAACUAUUAUACUACCUUCCUCCCACACUGGAGGACCUCGCUAUAGGGCACAAAAUUACCAAGAUGCAAUGGCUAUAUGUCGGUGGGCUGGAUACCCAGAUUUGUUCCUGACUUUUACUUGCAACCCAAAGUGGCCGGAAAUAAAUGCAAUGACGAGACUAAUAAACCAAGAUCCUGAUGGUUGCCGGGUGGACAUUAUAUGCCGAGUCUUCCAAAUCAAGUUGUUGCAGCUAAUGCGGAUUCUUAAAAAAGAUAAGCCUUUCGGGACAAUAAUUGCAUGUAAGAUAUGACAAUCAAUAAUCUUCAAUAUUGUCUUACUAAAUCACACAAAAUGCAAUCUCAAUGCUUUUAAAUUACAAUAUAGGUACAUAUAUAUGUGCAACCAAAAACAUGGAAGAUUAUCACAGAAUGUUAAACAUGUGCGCACAAGACCUAACCAUAACUCCUACAAAGCUUAACUACUAAGAAUUACAUCACUUCUUUAUGAAUACAGGAUAUCUAGCAACCAAUUCACCUAACCAACAUGCUAAUCACGUCCACAUACUAAUUUGUUUGUAGGUAUAUAUACAAUUGAGUUCCAGAAAAGAGGCUUGCCACAUGCUCAUAUACUGCUUUUCCUUCAUGAAACACAAAAAAACCCCACAACAGAUCAUAUCGACAGAGUAAUAUCCGCUGAAAUACCAGAUUACAGAGAAGAUCCAGAUGGGUAUAAUGUCGUGAAAAACUUCAUGAUGCACGGACUGUGUGGAGAACAAAAUCCCAGUUGCCCAUGUAUGAAACAAGGCAAGUGCACAAAACAUUUUCCAAAGAAAUACAAUGGCCGAACAAAUUUUGAUUCAGAUGGAUUCCCUAUUUAUAUGAGACGGAACACAGGUAUUGAAGUCAAGAAAAAUGGUGCCAGCUUAGACAACCGAUAUGUUGUCCCAUAUAACAGGAACUUGCUUGUCCAGUUUGAUGCACAUAUAAAUGUUGAAGUAUGCAAUUAUGCGAGGUCGAUCAAGUACCUAUUCAAGUAUGUUCAUAAAGGGUCUGAUAGAGCCACAACAAUAAUAGAAUCAACCGGGACACCAAUAGAAAAUGAUGAGAUAAAAAAAUACCUAGAUUGCAGAUACAUAUCAGCCACAGAAGCUUGCUGGAGGAUCUAUUCAUUUGAUAUACAUCACAGGCAACCGGCUGUUGAGCGCUUACCAUUUCAUUUACAGGGGCAGAACACAAUAAUAUUUGAAGAAUCAAGGACAGCUAAAAGCGUACUAAGCAGACCCAAUUUAGAAAAAACAAAAUUUACAGAAUGGUUUGAGGCAAACAAAGAAUACCCUGAUGCAAGAGAGCUGACAUAUUCCAAUUUUCCAACGCGUUGGGUUUGGAAUGUAAGAGACAAAAAGUGGACCAGGAGGAAGAAGGGACACGCAGUUGGCAGGAUUUGCUUUGCACAUCCAGGAAGUGGAGAACGUUUUUACAUGCGUAUGCUACUAAAUUUUGUCAAAGGGUGUACUUCCUUCGAAAGCAUCAGAAGAAUCAAUGGAGUAGAUCAUAAAACAUAUAGAGAGGCCUGCUACGCUUUGGGGUUAUUAGAUGAUGACAAAGAGUGGAACGACUGCUUGUCUGAGGCGGCCCAGUGGGCUUCUGGAAACGAGUUGCGACAUCUCUUUGUUACUAUACUUAUGAACUGUCAGGUGUCGGAUAACAUUAAUGCGGAAUGUAGGAAAUCGCCUAAUCAAUGAAGAGCUAGACUACGAUAAAGACAAACUCCAAAUACUCCAUGAUCAAUCACUCGCUUUGUUAAAUACUUGCCAACGCCCGGCAUAUGAGGCAAUAAUAGCAUCAGUUGAUAACGAAGAAGGAAAAUUAUUUUUUAUACAUGGCCAUGGUGGUACGGGUAAGACAUUUCUGUGGAAUACAAUUAUUUCGAAGAUCAGAUCAGAAUCAAAAAUCGUUCUCCCCGUCGCUACUUCGGGUAUAGCAGCUUUAUUAUUACCAAAUGGUAGGACUGCUCAUUCGCGCUUUCAUAUUCCUCUAGACAUCACGCCAGAGUCAACAUGUGAAAUCAAACAAGGCAGUCAAUUAGCGGAACUACUUAAAAAGACCGCUUUGAUAAUCUGGGAUGAGGCACCAAUGGCAAACAAAUUGUGCUUUGAGGCAUUGGACAGAACCUUGAGAGAUAUUCUACGAGAUAGGUAUGAAAAUAGUGCCAUGAAACCUUUUGGGGGCAUAACUUUCGUAUGUGGUGGUGAUUUUCGCCAAAUACUCCCAGUUAUUCCAAAGGGAACAAGAGGUGAUAUUGUGGAUGCAGCGCUGAACUACUCGCAGUUGUGGCCCUACUUCUCAAUUUAUGAAUUGACGGAAAAUAUGAGACUUAGCUGUGGAAAAGUCGGGGGUUCUGAAGCACGGAACAUAGCAAGUUUUGAUAAAUGGCUUUUGCAGAUAGGAAAUGGAUCUGUUUAUGCAGAUAAUAAGAAGGACCUCAUUCAUGUGCCCGCUGAUGUAUACAUUCCAACAUCGCACAAUCAGAUAGAAUUCAUUGUAGAGGCAGUAUAUCCGUCCCUGCUACAGAACUAUAACGACCCAUCCUACUUGAAAGAAAGAGCCAUACUCACACCAAAAAAUGAAAUGGUCCAUGAACUGAAUGAGAAAAUACUGAAGUUGAUACCUGGGGAAGGAAGAACUUACUAUAGCUCGGACAAUGUGUGCAAAGCAAGCGUGAAUACUAAUGAGGAGGAUAUAUUGUACCCAACAGAAUUCCUAAACAACUUACGAUUCCCAGGUAUCCCAAACCAUGACAUUCACUUGAAAGUAGGAAGUCCGGUGAUGCUGCUUAGAAAUCUAAAUCAAACUGAAGGCCUAUGCAAUGGUACAAGAUUAAUAAUAACGCAUCUGGGUAUUUGGUCUGUUACUGCAAACAUAAUCUCUGGAAAGAACAUCGGUUCAAGAGUCACAAUACCAAGAAUUAUCAUGUCACCAAACGAUUCAAAGUGGCCAUUCAAGCUCAACAGGCGCCAACUUCCUUUAGCACCCUGUUAUGCUAUGACCAUCAACAAGAGCCAGGGGCAAACUCUUCAAAGAGUUGGGUUGUAUCUGCCAAAACAAGUAUUCACACAUGGCCAAUUGUAUGUCGCAGUAUCACGUGUAACAACAAGAGAAGGAUUGGCAAUUGUCAAUGCGGACGAGGACACAGAUGACCCUACAUACAUAAAAAAUAUUGUUUAUAGGGAAAUCUUCCAUAACGUCGGCCCAAGAAUUGGGCAAACUGAGGAGGUAUUUCUUAGCAAUUAACUGUUUGGUAUGGCGAUUAUAAAUAUACAUUACACCAAAUAAUGGCCUAACUAACUUCUCGCAAUGACCCAUGUGCAGAUAAACAUCCAUACUAACGAGGAUUCGUGAUGGAGGUCGAAUGCAAAUGCAACACUCGCGUGUAGGCCUAACUAAUAGAAGACAGACCAGUGCAGCUGCCUAUGGAAUUUAAUAGCACAGAUUACAUACCUGAUGAGGGCACCUAUGAUAGACAACCUUCACGGAAAGUGCUGAUUUGAAAAGCUAAAAAUAAUAAAUGAAUGUCUUGCUUACUAUUUCUACUUGCAGCACAAAUAUGAGUCCUCUUUUACAAACUUAAUAUUGAAUGAUUCAUGUACUGUCACAAAUAUGUAACAUUUAACUAUACACACUGCAUACGUAGGGGUCUUAUUACAUAGACAACCGUCAUAUAUACCUUUGUAUAUAAUGCGUAUAGUUUAUACACAUGUACGCAGAGCCACCAACAAACAAUACAACACAACAAACAAUAUGUAGCAACUUUGGGACUACGAAAAUUACGUUUGAAAACAAUGGGGGUGAAAAAAAAUAGUGAUUUCGUUGUAAGAUUGGAGCAUUGCACAGAAUAGACAACUGUAUUGAUCAGGUAGAUGCUAAUGUUGGCCAUGCUCCAGAUGGAAAAAAAAUAAUAUAUAUUACAAAACGUAGAGUUACAUACAAAGACAGUCACAUUACUAUAACAAAUGAUGUCCUUACAAAUAUGUGACGACUUAAUAUAAAGACCACCAAGAAACCUCAAACGUUAAAUUGCUUUAAUACAUUGAAUGUUUGACGACGCAACAUGGAAUCACAUUACAGCACUUAAGCCACAAGUAAAAUAAUGCCACAGUCUACGACACUUCCAAAAAUUGACCGCAUCUUCAUUUACGCUUCUGCAAUAUAUUAUAGAGUCGAAUAAAGCACAACUUGGACCCGCGCGAAGCGCGGGUGGAUUCCCUAGUAAGGAAUAAAUGGAAUCGAGACUCAACCAAUACUAAAUCUUUUUUUAAAAAAUUAUUUUUUUGACGGAGACUUAAUUAAGCCCUAGCCGACGAUAACUUCAAUUUAUUUUCCUAGAUCAACGCCGGUGGCCAUGGCCACCACGAUACCGGGUCAAUCCUCCCUGGAGACUGGCUAGAGUUUGUUGAAGACAGAUACGAAAAAAGACUUUGUGUCACUAUUUAAAUCUGCUCCAAAUAAUACCAAACCACUACCAAUGAGACCAAUUUCUUAUUUACAUGGAGAACCAAGAAUAAUAUGGGAAGAGGAGGAGGUUACACAGAUGAUCUUCAAAGAGAAUCUACAAUAUGCGGUCAUUGGAAAGUUUUCGUAUGGGAUGCCGGAAAUCAGAGAACUAAGAUCAAUAAUCCCUAAACAAUGUGAAAUGAAGGGGGAGUGCAAUAUUAGACUCUUGGGUAAUCGACACGUACUAAUAAGAGCGGCUAACAUGGAGGAUUAUGUAAAUCUAUUAUCAAAGCCAGCUUUUUACCUAACUCAUCGCCAAUGGUCCUACCCAAUGAGAACCCUAAAGUGGGAUCCAAUGUCCGAUCCAGAGGAAGAAACAACAACAGCCAUUGCUUGGAUAUCUUUUCCAUCGCUCCCACCAAUUUUUUUUGUGAAAGAGGCACUCUUCUUGCUGGCUGUUGCGGUGGGGAAUCCCCUACAAGUAGAUAUGGCAACAAAGAACCAAACACGACCUAGCUGCGCAAGGGUUAAGGUUGAGGUCGAUCUAUUAGGAGAAUUCCCAAAAAGGAUUGACAUCGGAGUUCGGAAGCUAUCGGGAGAAGUAGUGGAAAAAUGCGUUAGGAUAAAAUAUGACCAUGUCCCAAAAUACUGUACUAAUUGUCGGCUGCAAGGACACAAUGAGCAUGAAUGUUAUGUUUUACAUCCCGUAUUAUACCCUAAGAAGAUGGAAGAAAUAGAAAAGGAACUAGGGGACAGACAGAAUGGUAGAGCAAAUAGAACAGUAAGCGAAGAGAAAGAAACACAAAUGGGGAAUCAGAGGGAGAUGGAUGGGAACAAAGAGGAGUUUCAAGUUCAAAGAAAUAAAAAACAUCAGGGUAAGGGUAGACAACAAGUGUGGAAUCCUAAACAACCACAACCACAUAAGGGAGUUGAGGAGAAGAUGACGACAGAAAAUAAAUUUGAAGCACUAGAAGAUUCAGAACAAAAAGAGGCAGAGGAAAAAAGAUCAAAGGAGAUUAUAUCAACAAGGCAAUGGGUUGAAAAUGCGUUCAAUAAACCAAAUAGAGAGGAUGGACAAAGAGAUACAGUAGAGCGGGAAAAAGAAAUUAUGCAUGAGACAAAUCAAGAACAAAAGGAUAUGCCACCAGGAGAUAUGGGGGAGGAGUCGGCAUUAACAUUAUGGGAACCUAUUUGUGAAACAGACAAUGCACAAAAGAAAGUUUUGCCACAUCCGAUAAGCAUAAUUGAACCAAACUCAUAAGAGGCUCUUGUUGAAGAUAUGAAUGCAUUGACCCCGGAUCAGAAAAGAAGGCGUCGGGAAGAAGAAGAGGAUGAAGACUUGGAGAUGAAUAUUCUAAGUGCAGGAAAAGCAGGGGACCUUUCUCCGAGACAAAUUGCUGAUUUAAAUGUGGCUUCAAAAAGGGAAAAACGGGACAGUCGAUUGUACCUCUACAAGUCAGAACGAGGAGAAGUGGGAAGAGGAAGGAUACAAUUUCUCAAUGAUAGGACAACUAUUAUUCUGGAAUAUCAGAUCUGUUAACUCUCAACAUUCAUUUGAGAGAGUAAUAGAGAUGAAUAGACGAUAUAAUUUUGCAUUUAUAGCUCUCCUGGAACCUUUUCAAGAUCCAGGGGAGAUAGAACAGUACAAAAGAAGAUUGGGCUUUGAUAGAGUAGCAGUGAACUCAUCUGCUAAGAUAUGGGUUUUUUGGAAAGAUCAUUGGGAAGGGCAGGUAAUUGUAGAUAGUUAUCAACAAAUUACAGUGAGAUUUUGCUAUCAAAGCAAGUUCUUUAGUAUUACUUCUGUGUACGCAAGAUGUUAUGCUAUAGAAAGAUUGGAGUUGUGGGAGGACAUAUAGAGUGUGGCAGGAUCAAACACAGAGCCGUGGUUGGUGGGAGGGGAUUUUAACGUCAUUUUCAAUGCAGAAGAGAAACUAGGAGGGCUCCCUUUCACGUACAAUGAGGCACGUGACUUUGCACAUUGUAUUAACAAUUGUGCACUCAUAGAAUUGCAAUCACUGGGAAGUCAAUACAUAUUUAAAAAGCUUGAUAGGAUUUUAGUAAAACAAGAGUUUUUGGAAUUGUUGCCUAGCAGUGAGGUUCAACAUCUGAUAAGGCAAGGGUCUGACCAUGCACCAUUAUUAGUCCAAUGUAAUCCAGCGGAUGUGAAUGUCAUCAAACCAUUCAAAUUUCUUAAUUUUUGGACUAAUCAUCCUAAAUAUCUGGAGGUUGUGAGAGGGGCCUGGCAAAUCGAUUUUGUGGGAGAUCCUUUUUCGGAAUACCAUGCUAAGAUGAAGAAAGUGAAGAAGGCUCUAGCUGAAUGGAGUAAAAAAACAUAUGGUAACAUCUUUGAAAAAAUGGCAACGCUAGAAGAUUUGGUCAGGGUCAAAGAAAUACAAUUGGAAAUCAAUCCUAAUGCAGAAAAUAGAUGUGAGCUAAGCAAGACAGAAGCUGAACUAAGAAAAAUUUUAAACAUUGAGGAAGAAUAUUGGAGACAAAAGGCGGGAAUGAAAUGGUUUAAGGAUGGGGAUAGAAACACAAAGUUAUUUCAUGCUUUUGUCAAGGGAAGACGGAAAAAGGAUGCAUAUUGGAGAAAUUGAUACAGAGCAGGGGGAAGUGGUUACAUCAGAAGAACAAAUUGGUGCGGCAGCGGUGGAAUUUUUUGAGAAACAAUUCAAGGAUCCAGAUGUGAUGAUGUAUACUGAGAUGCUAGAGAAUAUCCCAUGUAUAAUUACCCAAGAGCAAAAUGAAGAGAUCAGUAGGGUUCCAACCAGUGAGGAGGUGAAAAUAGUAGUCAAUGAGCUAAGUAGUGAUAGCACUAAUGUACCGGAUGGUUUCUUUGGAACUUUUUUUCAGAAGAGCUGGGAGAUUAUUGGAGAAGAUACAACUAAAAUGGUUCGAGCCUUCUUUUGUGGACAAAGGCUACCAAGAUUCAUUACACAUACGAAUCUGAUCCUAAUCCCUAAAAAGGAGAGUGUGAAAGCCUUUGCGGAUUUAAGGUCGAUUAACCUUAGCAUCUUUGCCAAUAAAAUCAUAUCGAGAAUGCUUCAUGAAAGACUGGUGAAAAAUCUUCCAAGGCUGAUUUCUGCAAACCAAACAGGCUUCAUAAAAGAAAGAAGUAUUACGGAGAAUGUUUUGCUUGCACAAGAGAUUAUCAGAGAUAUCGGAAUUAGGAAUAAGUGGCAUAAUGUGGUGGUAAAACUCGAUAUGGCAAAGGCAUAUGAUAGAGUAUCAUGGUUAUUCCUUACUAAGGUUUUGAGGAAAUUUGGCUUUUCGGAGAAUCUCAUCGACAUGGUGUGGAGAUUGCUAUCAAACAACUGGUAUUCAGUUCUAGUGAAUGGUCAAGCCUAUGGUUUCUUUCAAUCAUCAAGGGGACCUAAACAGGGAGAUCCACUAUCACCAACACUCUUCAUUAUUGCGGCAGAAGUGCUGGCCAGAGGGCUGAAUAAAUUACAUGAAGAUGCUGAAUAUAGGGGCUUUGGUAUGCCAAAGUGGAGUCCAAACAUCAAUCAUUUGUCAUAUACUGAUGCUACUAUUCUAUUUUGUUCAUGAGAGAAGAAAUCGAUCAAAAAAAUGAUGAAAGUAUUGGCCAAAUAUGAGCAAGUAUCUGGACAAAUGAUAAAUAAGAGCAAAUGUUUUUUCUAUCUACAUGAAAAAACACAUAUGGUGCUAGGACAGAAAAUCAACAAAUGGAUAGGAAUAAAUCAGGGUCAGUUUCCAUUCAUAUAUUUGGGAUGCCCUAUUUUCUAUGGUAGAAAAAAACAACUUAUUAUGAGGAGCUAUUGGGAAAGAUUAUUAGAAGGAUUAUGUGCUGGCAGAACAAACUAGUUUCGUAUGGAGGAAGACAUAUGCUGGUGGAACAUGUGCUGCAAUCAAUGCAUGUAUACCUUUUAUCGGCUAUGAAACCUCCUAAAGGUGUCAUUAACAAAAUCCAUCAAUUAUUUGCUAAGUUUUUCUGGGGAAAGACUGGAGGGUUGAAAGGGAGACAUUGGGUAGCGUGGGAUGAAUUGUGUUACCCAUUCAACGAAGGGGGAGUUGGUUUCAAAUCCCUAUAUGAUGUGGUAAGUGCCUUAUUUGCAAAGUUGUGGUGGAAAUUCAGAGUAAAAUUCAGAGUAUCCACAAAUUCUUAAUGGGGUACUUUCAUGUGGAACAAGAAUUGUGAAAAGGAUCAUCCAGUAGUAGCCAAAGGAAUAGUAGGAUCGCAAGUCUCGAGGAAAAUGGUGAUGGUCAGGGAAGAAGUGGAGCAUGAAAUAUGGUGGCAAAUUAAAGCUGUAAAUAGCAGUUUUUGGUAUGACAAUUGGACACAACAAGGCGCUUUGUAUUAUAUUGAAGAGAAUGGUCCAGAUAGAUCAGAAUUGGAGGUCAGAAGUUUCUUCAAUAAUAAUGGUUGGAAUAGAGGAAAAUUAGAGAGUGUGGUUUCUGAGGAUAUGGCAAGAUACAUUAUGGAGAGUAUCAAUCCAAUUGACACUCAGGGAUCAGAUUAUGCAUGGUGGACGGGAAAUACUAAGGGGGAAUUCUCUAUCAAAUCAGUUUUUCAUAUGAUUAGGAAAAGGAAAGAAGGAGGGGACUGGUUUGAAGGAAAUUUGGAUUAAAGGACUUCCAUUUAAAAUCAUUUUUUUCCAUUGAAAGGUAUGGAAGAGGAGGAUUGCCACAGAUGAUAACUUGAAAAAAAUGAGGAUGCAUAUUGUUUCAAGUUGCCAUUGUUGUGAAGAGUAUAAAAUGGAGACUAUGGAGCACUUAUUUCUAACGUCUCCUAUAGCCCAAAAGCUAUGGGAGAAUUUUGCUUUUUGUGCAGGUAUGAAAUUACAUGGAAUGCAACUACAACAUUUGAUAACUAAUUGGUGGACUACUACUGGCCCUAUCAAGAUACAAAGGAUUUUUAAGAUUGUACCAACGAUCUUACUUUGGGAACUCUGGAAAAGGAGGAAUACAAGAAGACAUGACAAGGAUGUGAGCUUGUUCAAGCUGAUACAACAGUGCUAACACACAAUCAAUCAGUUUAUCAGGUAUACUUACCCUUGGAUUACAAGUCCAACACAUUGGGAAGGAAUUGUCAACUUUUUCUACCAAUAUAAGCCUAAAUUGUAUUACCAGGCUAUCAGUUGGCAAAAACCAGAUAAGGAAUGGGUUAAGUGUAAUGCAGAUGGGUCCUCGAGAGGAAAUCCAGGAGAUAGUGCAUAUGCUUUUUGUAUUAGGGAUGCCAAGGGGGACUUGAUCUUUGCAGAGGCGAAACAAAUAGAGAUUACUACAAAUAACAUGGCGGAAGUGGCUGCAGUCCUUAAGGCUCUAAAGAAUUGCAGGCACUAUCAAUAUAGCAAGGUGAUUAUGGAAACAGAUUCCAAGGGAAUUAGAAAUUUUUUGUUGAAGGAAUGGAAAAUUCCUUGGGAACUGAGUGAAGUCAUGGAAGAAGCUAUUAAUAUGAUUCAGCAGGAUGGAAUACAAGUGAAACAUAUUUUUAGAAAGGGUAAUCAACUAGCAGAUGCUUUAGCUAACAAUGCAUACAAUCACACAGAAAAGCAAGAAUACAAGCAGUUUAAUCAUCUACCAGUGAAAUGCAGGAAAAUUCUAAACAUGGAUAAGCAAUAGGUCAUGAGUUUGCGGAUCAAGACAAGAAAGAUUAAGGACACUAUCAAUUAGUAUAGAUAUCAUUCACAGUGAUCGAUCUAUCACAGAGUCUCACAGAUAUUAUAUAUACAUAUUAAAACAGGGCUUAAUAUUGGCGAGAAAAGGAGAGCUACCUAUACUACGCUAUGACAGCUUACAAACAGGAUUACCAAGAGUCGAGGGCUACAGGGUCAGAACAGAAUUCAAAGAGCAGCAACUGUAGUCAAAUUUGAAACAUAUAUGCUUCUCGGUGUCAUACCUAAAUUUUGAGAAAAUGGGAAGUAAGAGAUCAGAAGGCGAGGACAAUGAAAGUCGAACAACUAAGGAGUGGAGCUUACUGGUUAACAAAGCUCUUGGACAAAGCACACCAACGGGAAAUGAGAAUUGGGUCAUUCACCUGAAAAGCAAAGAUGGAGAUCACAUAUGGUAAAUCACAACAAAGGAAAGCACUAGAGAAUACCUUUGAAAGCUACAGAAAGGAGUUGAACCAUAAUAUACAUGGACACCAAUUACAAGGAAGAAAUGCAAGUUUCACAUAGGGAAGGAACGUUUUGAGGAGGCGGAUUAGGAAACAAAAAAGAGGAAAGUGUUUAAAGUGUAGGGAUUAAAUAUAGAAAGAGAUUUAGUUUCUUUUGGGCUAGGUGGACAAAGUUUAUUUUUCUUUGGGCUAUUGGCCUGUUUAUUUGCGAUUUUUUGUUUCUCGUCUUUCUUAUGCAAUAAAAUGAGCCCUGAGCUCAAAA
rnacentral:lncRNA from 1 species